AAUCACCCACACAAGGAGGACACAGCCUAGACUGGCCAAAGAGUGUUGGAUAUAUGAAUCCUCACCUGCUACAAGGAGCAGAUAUUGGUGCUGAUAGUCAAGACCACAUCUGAUCCUGCUCCAGAGAAGAGAAAGGGGUACAAGUGGCCAACAACACCAAAGCAGCAGCGUCUACCUAGCAGCACCUCUGAGGAAGAUGGCUAUGAAUUCUCAAAGGCUACAUUGGCACAGCAUUCACUUGCACCCUCCACCAGACACUGCCGCCUCGUGUGACCCCUCUUCUGACAAGUCCUGACAAGCCUAACCCAGCAGUCACUGCAUCAGAGGUCAGAUCAGGUUUCCUUCCUGUGAAUCCAAGAAAGCGAUGGGACCAAUACAGAGUACCAGGCCAUGCAAUCAGAGCACGCCCAGAUCAACUGGCAGAGGUCUUCUCAGACAUCUUCAACCCUCCC